rnacentral:rRNA from 1 species
GACGAACGCUGGCGGCGUGCCUAAUACAUGCAAGUCGAGCGGACGAAUCGAAAGCUUGCUUUUGAUUCGUUAGCGGCGGACGGGUGAGUAACACGUGGGCAACCUGCCCUGUAGACGGGGAUAACACCGAGAAAUCGGUGCUAAUACCGGAUAACACGAAAUGUCGCAUGACGUUUCGUUGAAAGACGGCGCAAGCUGUCGCUACAGGAUGGGCCCGCGGCGCAUUAGCUAGUUGGUGAGGUAACGGCCCACCAAGGCGACGAUGCGUAGCCGACCUGAGAGGGUGAUCGGCCACACUGGGACUGAGACACGGCCCAGACUCCUACGGGAGGCAGCAGUAAGGAAUCUUCCGCAAUGGACGAAAGUCUGACGGAGCAACGCCGCGUGAGCGAAGAAGGCCUUCGGGUCGUAAAGCUCUGUUGUUAGGGAAGAACAAGUAACGCAGUAACUGGCGUUACCGUGACGGUACCUAACGAGAAAGCCACGGCUAACUACGU